GUUUGUCGAGCUUUCCGAGACUUCUCCGUGCUGCUCUUGAUCCAAAUACGGAGACUGGAUUGCUCGAUUGCGCGUCGAAGCAUCAUUAAACAAGGUGGGAGACAUAAGGGGUGGAGUGAAUGCAAACCCUUUGUUUUGUAGGUGGCGUUCGGAUGAAUGUCGAAUGUAUGAGAUUAUGUUGAAGUGUUGUUUGCUUUAGAUUUAAAUGCAUGUUUACUUGCUUUAGCA